ACUUUAAGCACUUUAUACUGUGAAACUGCGAAUGGCUCAUUAAAUCAGUUAUCGUUUAUUUGAUAGUACCUUACUACAUGGAUACCUGUGGUAAUUCUAGAGCUAAUACAUGCUAAAAACCUCGACUUCGGAAGGGGUGUAUUUAUUAGAUAAAAAACCAAUGCCCUUCGGGGCUCCUUGGUGAUUCAUAAUAACUUAACGAAUCGCAUGGCCUUGCGCCGGCGAUGGUUCAUUCAAAUUUCUGCCCUAUCAACUUUCGAUGGUAGGAUAGUGGCCUACCAUGGUGGCAACGGGUAACGGGGAAUUAGGGUUCGAUUCCGGAGAGGGAGCCUGAGAAACGGCUACCACAUCCAAGGAAGGCAGCAGGCGCGCAAAUUACCCAAUCCCGACACGGGGAGGUAGUGACAAUAAAUACUGAUACGGGGCUCUUUUGGGUCUCGUAAUUGGAAUGAGUACAAUCUAAAUCCCUUAACGAGGAACAAUUGGAGGGCAAGUCUGGUGCCAGCAGCCGCGGUAAUUCCAGCUCCAAUAGCGUAUAUUAAAGUUGUUGCAGUUAAAAAGCUCGUAGUUGAACCUUGGGUCUGGCUGGCCGGUCCGCCUCACCGCGAGUACUGGUCCGGCUGGACCUUUCCUUCUGGGGAACCUCAUGGCCUUCACUGGCUGUGGGGGGAACCAGGACUUUUACUGUGAAAAAAUUAGAGUGUUCAAAGCAGGCCUUUGCUCGAAUACAUUAGCAUGGAAUAAUAGAAUAGGACGUGCGGUUCUAUUUUGUUGGUUUCUAGGACCGCCGUAAUGAUUAAUAGGGAUAGUCGGGGGCGUCAGUAUUCAGCUGUCAGAGGUGAAAUUCUUGGAUUUGCUGAAGACUAACUACUGCGAAAGCAUUCGCCAAG
rnacentral:rRNA from 1 species